rnacentral:lncRNA from 1 species
GACCUCAGCUGUCAGCAGUGCAGGAAGCUGACUAUUAAGGGGAAACAAAAGUGUUAUUAGGAGUCCUGCUGUCACUGUGGAUUGAGCCUGCAUCCUGAGCCCUGAGGCUGUCUCCGGUGGUGGACCUCCUCCUGGGUAGGGAUGGAUAGAGGAAGCAGCUAGAAGCCUUGGCAGUGAGGACUCCUAAGG